GUUAGGAAUAUUGGACAAUGGGCGCAAGCCUGAUCCAGCCAUGCCGCGUGAGUGAUGAAGGCCUUCGGGUUGUAAAGCUCUUUAGCCGAUGAUUAUAAUGACUGUAGUCGGAAAAUAAGCCCCGGCUAACUUCGUGCCAGCAGCCGCGGUAAUACGAAGGGGGCGAGCGUUAUUCGGAAUCACUGGGCGUAAAGCGUGCGUAGGCGGUUUUGUAAGUUAGGAGUGAAAGCCCAGGGCUCAACCCUGGAAUUGCUCUUAAAACUACAAGGCUAGAAUGUCGGAGAGGAUAGCGGAAUUUCCAGUGUAGCAGUGAAAUGCGUAGAUAUUGGAAGAAACACCAGUGGCGUAAGCGGCUAUCUGGACGACUAUUGACGCUGAGGCACGAAAGCGUGGGGAUCAAACAGGAUUAGAAACCCCGGUAGUCC
rnacentral:rRNA from 1 species